CCUACGGGGGGCAGCAGUGAGGAAUAUUGGUCAAUGGCCGGAAGGCUGAACCAGCCAUGCCGCGUGAAGGUCAGUGCCCUAUGGGCGUUAAACUUCUUUUGUGCGGGAGCAAUAAUGGUCACGUGUGGCCAGACGAGAGUACCGUACGAAUAAGCAUCGGCUAACUCCGUGCCAGCAGCCGCGGUAAUACGGGGGAUGCAAGCGUUAUCCGGAUUUAUUGGGUUUAAAGGGUGCGUAGGCUGGGAGGUAAGUCAGCGGUGAAAUGCCCCCGCUCAACGGGGUGAAGUGCCAUUGAUACUGCCUGGCUGGAAUGCGGAUGCCGUGGGAGGAAUGUGUGGUGUAGCGGUGAAAUGCAUAGAGAUCACACAGAACACCGAUUGCGAAGGCAUCUCACGAAUCCGCGAUUGACGCUGAUGCACGAAAGCGUGGGUAUCAAACAGGAUUAGAUACCCUUGUAGUC
rnacentral:rRNA from 1 species